AGAGUUUGAUCCUGGCUCAGGAUGAACGCUGGCGGCGUGCUUAACACAUGCAAGUCGAACGAACCUUCGGGUUAGUGGCGGACGGGUGAGUAACGCGUGAGAAUCUGCCCUCAGGAGGGGGAUAACGGUUGGAAACGACCGCUAAUACCCCAUAUGCCGCGAGGUGAAAUGAAUUUCGCCUGAGGAUGAGCUCGCGUCUGAUUAGUUAGUUGGUGGGGUAAAGGCCUACCAAGACAUCGAUCAGUAGCUGGUCUGAGAGGAUGAUCAGCCACACUGGGACUGAGACACGGCCCAGACUCCUACGGGAGGCAGCAGUGGGGAAUUUUCCGCAAUGGGCGAAAGCCUGACGGAGCAACGCCGCGUGAGGGAUGAAGGCCUCUGGGCUGUAAACCUCUUUUAUCAAGGAAGAAGAUCUGACGGUACUUGAUGAAUAAGCCACGGCUAAUUCCGUGCCAGCAGCCGCGGUAAUACGGGAGUGGCAAGCGUUAUCCGGAAUUAUUGGGCGUAAAGCGUCCGCAGGCGGUCUGUCAAGUCUGCUGUUAAAGCGUGGAGCUUAACUCCAUUUCGGCAGUGGAAACUGACAGACUAGAGUGUGGUAGGGGCAGAGGGAAUUCCCGGUGUAGCGGUGAAAUGCGUAGAUAUCGGGAAGAACACCAGUGGCGAAGGCGCUCUGCUGGGCCAUAACUGACGCUCAUGGACGAAAGCCAGGGGAGCGAAAGGGAUUAGAUACCCCUGUAGUCCUGGCCGUAAACGAUGAACACUAGGUGUCGGGGGAAUCGACCCCCUCGGUGUCGUAGCCAACGCGUUAAGUGUUCCGCCUGGGGAGUACGCACGCAAGUGUGAAACUCAAAGGAAUUGACGGGGGCCCGCACAAGCGGUGGAGUAUGUGGUUUAAUUCGAUGCAACGCGAAGAACCUUACCAGGGUUUGACAUCCUGCGAAUCUCUUGGAAACGAGAGAGUGCCUUCGGGAACGCAGUGACAGGUGGUGCAUGGCUGUCGUCAGCUCGUGUCGUGAGAUGUUGGGUUAAGUCCCGCAACGAGCGCAACCCACGUCGUUAGUUGCCAGCAUUUAGUUGGGCACUCUAGCGAGACCGCCGGUGAUAAACCGGAGGAAGGUGUGGAUGACGUCAAGUCAUCAUGCCCCUUACAUCCUGGGCUACACACGUACUACAAUGCUACGGACAAAGGGCAGCAAACUCGCGAGAGCUAGCAAAUCCCAUAAACCGUGGCUCAGUUCAGAUCGUAGGCUGCAACUCGCCUACGUGAAGCAGGAAUCGCUAGUAAUCGCAGGUCAGCAUACUGCGGUGAAUACGUUCCCGGGCCUUGUACACACCGCCCGUCACACCAUGGAAGUUGGCCACGCCCGAAGCCGUUACUCCAACCCUUGUGGAGGAGGACGUCGAAGGUGGGGCUGAUGACUGGGGUGAAGUCGUAACAAGGUA
rnacentral:rRNA from 1 species